rnacentral:rRNA from 1 species
AUUGAACGCUGGCGGAAUGCUUUACACAUGCAAGUCGAACGGUAGAGGGGGCAACCCCUCGAGAGUGGCGAACGGGUGAGUAAUAUAUCGAAACGUGCCCAGUCGUGGGGGAUAACGUAGCGAAAGUUACGCUAAUACCGCAUACGAUCUAAGGAUGAAAGCGGGGGAUCGCAAGACCUCGCGCGAUUGGAGCGGCCGAUAUCAGAUUAGGUAGUUGGUGGGGUAAAGGCUCACCAAGCCAACGAUCUGUAGCUGGUCUGAGGGGACGACCAGCCACACUGGAACUGAGACACGGUCCAGACUCCUACGGGAGGCAGCAGUGGGGAAUUUUGGACAAUGGACGCAAGUCUGAUCCAGCCAUUCCGCGUGCAGGAUGAAGGCCCUCGGGUUGUAAACUGCUUUUGUACGGAACGAAAAGGUCUCUCUUAAUACGGGGGACUCAUGACGGUACCGUAAGAAUAAGCACCGGCUAACUACGUGCCAGCCGCCGCAGUAACAC